rnacentral:rRNA from 1 species
UACGUAGGUGGCAAGCGUUGUUCGGAUUUACUGGGCGUAAAGGGCGCGUAGGCGGCAGAUCAAGUCAGCUGUGAAAUCUCCGAGCUUAACUCGGAAACUGUCAGCUGAUACUGUUUUUUUGCUAGAGUGCGGAAGGGGGGCAAAUCGGAAAUUUCUUUGGUGUAGCGGUGAAAAUGCGUAGAUAUCAUUUUUUGGAACGCCAAUGGUGAAAAAAACAGCUCGCUGGGGGGGUGCACUGACACUGAGACACGAAAAGCCAGGGGGGAGCGAACGGGG